rnacentral:rRNA from 1 species
UACGAAGGGUGCAAGCGUUAAUCGGAAUUACUGGGCGAAAAGCGUGCGUAGAUGGUUCAUUAAGUCGGAUGUGAAAGCCCCGGGCUCAACCUGGGAACUGCAUCCGAUACUGGUGGACUAGAGUGCGGUAGAGGAUGGCGGAAUUCCCGGUGUAGCGGUGAAAUGCGUAGAGAUCGGGAGGAACAUCCGUGGCGAAGGCGGCCAUCUGGACCAGCACUGACGUUGAGGCACGAAAGCGUGGGGAGCAAACAGG